rnacentral:rRNA from 1 species
GGUGUUACUGCGAAGGGGGGACGGAGAAGGCUAUGUUGGCCGGGCGACGGUUGUCCCGGUUUAAGCGUGUAGGCUGGUUUUCCAGGCAAAUCCGGAAAAUCAAGGCUGAGGCGUGAUGACGAGGCACUGCGGUGCUGAAGCAACAAAUGCCCUGCUUCCAGGAAAAGCCUCUAAGCAUCAGGUAACAUCAAAUCGUACCCCAAACCGACACAGGUGGUCAGGUAGAGAAUACCAAGGCGCUUGAGAGAACUCGGGUGAAGGAACUAGGCAAAAUGGUGCCGUAACUUCGGGAGAAGGCACGCUGAUAUGUAGGUGAAGUCCCUCGCGGAUGGAGCUGAAAUCAGUCGAAGAUACCAGCUGGCUGCAACUGUUUAUUAAAAACACAGCACUGUGCAAACACGAAAGUGGACGUAUACGGUGUGACGCCUGCCCGGUGCCGGAAGGUUAAUUGAUGGGGUUAGCGCAAGCGAAGCUCUUGAUCGAAGCCCCGGUAAACGGCGGCCGUAACUAUAACGGUCCUAAGGUAGCGAAAUUCCUUGUCGGGUAAGUUCCGACCUGCACGAAUGGCGUAAUGAUGGCCAGGCUGUCUCCACCCGAGACUCAGUGAAAUUGAACUCGCUGUGAAGAUGCAGUGUACCCGCGGCAAGACGGAAAGACCCCGUGAACCUUUACUAUAGCUUGACACUGAACAUUGAGCCUUGAUGUGUAGGAUAGGUGGGAGGCUUUGAAGUGUGGACGCCAGUCUGCAUGGAGCCGACCUUGAAAUACCACCCUUUAAUGUUUGAUGUUCUAACGUUGACCCGUAAUCCGGGUUGCGGACAGUGUCUGGUGGGUAGUUUGACUGGGGCGGUCUCCUCCUAAAGAGUAACGGAGGAGCACGAAGGUUGGCUAAUCCUGGUCGGACAUCAGGAGGUUAGUGCAAUGGCAUAAGCCAGCUUGACUGCGAGCGUGACGGCGCGAGCAGGUGCGAAAGCAGGUCAUAGUGAUCCGGUGGUUCUGAAUGGAAGGGCCAUCGCUCAACGGAUAAAAGGUACUCCGGGGAUAACAGGCUGAUACCGCCCAAGAGUUCAUAUCGACGGCGGUGUUUGGCACCUCGAUGUCGGCUCAUCACAUCCUGGGGCUGAAGUAGGUCCCAAGGGUAUGGCUGUUCGCCAUUUAAAGUGGUACGCGAGCUGGGUUUAGAACGUCGUGAGACAGUUCGGUCCCUAUCUGCCGUGGGCGCUGGAGAACUGAGGGGGGCUGCUCCUAGUACGAGAGGACCGGAGUGGACGCAUCACUGGUGUUCGGGUUGUCAUGCCAAUGGCACUGCCCGGUAGCUAAAUGCGGAAGAGAUAAGUGCUGAAAGCAUCUAAGCACGAAACUUGCCCCGAGAUGAGUUCUCCCUGACUCCUUGAGAGUCCUGAAGGAACGUUGAAGACGACGACGUUGAUAGGCCGG